rnacentral:rRNA from 1 species
GACGAACGCUGGCGGCGUGCUUAACACAUGCAAGUCGAACGGAAAGGCCCUGCUUUUGUGGGGUGCUCGAGUGGCGAACGGGUGAGUAACACGUGAGUAACCUGCCCUUGACUUUGGGAUAACUUCAGGAAACUGGGGCUAAUACCGGAUAGGAGCUCCUGCUGCAUGGUGGGGGUUGGAAAGUUUCGGCGGUUGGGGAUGGACUCGCGGCUUAUCAGCUUGUUGGUGGGGUAGUGGCUUACCAAGGCUUUGACGGGUAGCCGGACUGAGAGGGUGACCGGCCACAUUGGGACUGAGAUACGGCCCAGACUCCUACGGGAGGAAGCAGUGGGGAAUAUUGCACAAUGGGCGGAAGCCUGAUGCAGCAACGCCGCGUGCGGGAUGACGGCCUUCGGGUUGUAAACCGCUUUCGCCUGUGACGAAGCGUGAGUGACGGUAAUGGGUAAAGAAGCACCGGCUAACUACGUG